UUCUUUUACAGGCUCCGCUUCAGGCUUGGAUGCAGGUGUUACAGUUACAAGUGAAAAAUGACCGUCAGAGUGCACUUGGCCCGACGGAUUAACUGCAGAGUGAAAAAAAGUGCUGAUGGGCAACAAAAGAAUGGAAACAGCUAUUCAUCACUGUGACACGCAGAUCAAAGCUGUGCGUUUCUCAAAGCGCACUGCUUGAGUUACUGCGUAGCGCCGGCGUGGAGGCAGUCACUGAGAUAAAGAUGCCUCCAACCUUGGAUUGAGUCCAAUGCGGCCGCAUCCUCCGCGUCCAAAGAGCAUCCCCUCUCUCUUAAAUGUGAUGAGAUUGCGGCAUACCACAGUGGAGGAGAGAGGUAAUUAAAGAGUCAUCAAGCCGGCGUGUUAUCAACCAAGUAAAUGACAGAGUGACUGAAGCAAACACAGCGGAGGCAUCUUUGCGAGAUGGACGACACCAAAUCCAUUUGUCCGCCUACCCGCCGCCCACUCGUCGCCGCUUUGUACCUUUCAACGCCGCCGCCAGUCAGACAAUUGUGAGGCUGAAACUUCCAGCGACCAAACAAGCCACUAGUCCAUCGCGGCAACUCGGGAGAAUCUUAGGUACUUCCCUCGAGUCACCUGAUAUCUUUCAGUUCUCCCUCCGUGUUGUGUCGGGAGCGUCGUCUCUCUUCCCACA